CCGGUUCUGUCCACCCACGUAUGCAGCCACAGCGUUGCGGCAGCUCUCCGCCUUGUAACCGAUAUGCCUCAAAAGGAAGUGGCUUGGUAGAGCCGCCCACGACGAUGGAGCCCUUGCUUGUUGCUUCAAGCCGAUCGGGCGCGAGCUGGGGGAACAGACUCCGGGAAUAGACUGGCUCAGUGAGCUGUGGCGUCGACGUGGGAGCUGUUGUCAGAUUCGAGGAAUGUGACACGUUGCAGAUGUGACUCACUUUUGAGAAAUGGGCGAAUCCAAAAGAAAAGAAUCCAGUUCCCAAAUGUGUCAUGUUGGUGUUCCCUAUGAUGGAGGUUGGAGUGUGCAAUGAAAUCUGACACAUGUAGCAGCUUUGGUCGACAAAGCCCCAAAUUCUCUUGAAGGAAUGGGCGGAAAGGACUCUCUCGUUUCGGAUGAGGAAGGAUAGGCCGUAAGCGACGAUGCGAUAUUAUUGGAGGGUAGAUGCAUCCGCUGGACUGGAACAAGAGAAAAAAAGUUAUUUUAAUAAAAAAAUGCUUCUGGAAUCUCGAGUGCCGUUGGUCAAUGAGCCCAUCUCCCUAGAAUGAAACGUGCAAAGAAUAGUAGCUGAUAUCGAUCAGUCAAACCUGGUGUCAUCUAGGUAUGGUCUCGUCGAGGUGUUCUCUAGCAUCUUGAACUGGGAACAGGGAGAAAACCUAGAUCGAACAAGCCAAGAUCCUGAGCUUUCCGGAAACAACCAGUAGCUUCAUUCAUAGUCUCGGUUACUCCCCUCUCACUGCAUUUCUUUGUGCGUUCAUUUGAGAGCCAAGUAUUAAUUUUUGGACCGGUACUUUUGAUUGUUUAGGUCUGCCAAUUUUACGCUGAUGGCCAGCUUUACCCGUUCAUCGAUCUCAAAGAUAGGAUAACCCACAGAUGCCGGGUGCUUGCGUGGUGUCCACAACAGUUGGUUGUCAUUGUACCUCUCAGAGAAUAAUACUCUUCCAACGUAUGUUGGAAAGACCGCUUCGCUAGUACAGUAAGUUCUGUCGAACAGCAGUAACUAGAUUUGCCAAGGGUGGAGUAGUGUACCGAUGAGAUCGUGAAUCUCGAUUGUUCAGAUAUGCUCAUAAAACCUGGAGCGUGAGGGGAGCACCGUUGGCAGAGUACUUGUUGUGUGGGCCCGUCUUGUGUCAGCUCCGUACUUGAUAGAAUACACUACAAUACUGACCGGCGCUUUCUAAGACACCUUAUACUGAAUUUCUGACACUGAGGAAUGGAGAACUUUUGAGAUCGAA